rnacentral:rRNA from 1 species
UAUCAGUCAUGCAUAGCAUAUCAAUAAGCGGAGGAAAAGAAACUAACAAGGAUUCCCUUAGUAACGGCGAGUGAAGCGGGAAGAGCUCAAAUUUGAAAUCUUCAAGGUUUUACCUUGACGAAUUGUAGUCUAAAGAAGUGUUUUCUGUUGAAGUUUUGGUAAAAGUUCUUUGGAAUAGGACAUCAUAGAGGGUGAGAAUCCCGUAUUUGACCAUUACUUUCAGCUUUGUGAUACACUUUCAAAGAGUCGGAUUGUUUGGGAAUGCAGUCCAAAAUGGGUGGUAAAUUUCAUCUAAAGCUAAAUAUUGGCGAGAGACCGAUAGCGAACAAGUACCGUGAGGGAAAGAUGAAAAGAACUUUGAAAAGAGAGUUAAACAGUACGUGAAAUUGUCAAAAGGGAAGCGUUUGACACCAGUGUUGUUUUCUCGAAAAUCAAUUAAAAAGAGUUGGAUUUUGUGUUGUAUUGACUUUAUCGGCUUUCUUCACUCUUUUCCAGCUUUUUUUAAUGCACUUUUCGUUUAACAAGUCAACAUCAGUUUCUUUUGUUGUAAAAAGGUCAUUGGAAGGUGGCUUUCUCUUCGGAGAAAGUGUUUAUAGCCUUUGACUCAUGCAAUCGGAGAGACUGAGGUCUGCAGCGUAGAUCCUUCGGGGUUAGAUACAUUUGUGCUAAGUUAUAGCUUUUCAUAGACAACUUGUUGACUAUGUUUAGUCUUGUAGCUUACUCGCUUAUGCUAUUUUACCUACGCUUAGGAUGUUGAACUCUAUCACACACAG